AUUAUUUUACCGUAAAUCUUUAAAACGCUGGAACUAAUUACUGAGAGGAUAUGUCUCAAUUUGUUCCGCAUUAGUGCCGCGCCGGGACGCAGACACCGAGCAUGGGAAAUUGAUGAGCCCAGCCCAGCCGCGCCGGGACCGCGGCCCUGACCCCAUGUUCACCUCGACUCCAGCCCCGGCACCUGCGGGACCCCUGGGCCGAGCCGCCUGGUCCGAAUUUCCCCUAGC
rnacentral:sRNA from 14 species